AAACAGGCUCCAAAAGCUUGUUACUUACUUGUAGUCAAACAGAAAGCAGAGCUGUGAAUCAAAUCCAGGUUUGUCUCGGCAUGCCACUAGCUCAUACUUCUCUUGGAUCAGCCACUAAAUGGCUUUCACUCCAGUGAGCAGCGAGCAGCACCAGAAUUAUGGAACAUUUAUCAACAGCCUAAAAUAAAGGCAAUGCUAGGAGAACUUGGUUGCUUAUGUAGAUUCAAGAUACAAUGCUGCUGGAUUGUGGAGGAGAUAUCAGAAUGUGCAUGCACAGAGGUACGACCAUGUGAAGAGACAGCAGGAGAGCUGCAAUCUACAAGCCAAGGAAAGAGACCACAGAGGAAACCAGUCCUGCCAACACCUUGAUCUUGUACUUCCAUCCUCCAGAACUAACCAGAGACCACAGUCCAUGCUGACGGUAUGGGCUUCUGUCUUCAAGACUGUUGCAAGGCUGCAGGAAAACUUAGAGGCAUCAUCCUGCCUUGGUUUCUGGUUGCCAAGGUAUUCUGUCUGAUACCAACUCUGCCAGCAGUCACCAACUAGCCAUGCUUUUCCCUUGGAGGCACACGUAGAUUGCUCACCAGGCAAACAAUUCUGCAAGUGUCAUGUUCUCUGCAUUUCUUUCAGAUUCAGCCUUAGGCAAGCUUGUGAAGCAAUGACUGUCUUAAUUAGUCCCCUGGGUACCGAGACCUAAUCCUUUCAAGUCACUAGUUAUCCCAUGUUCCUUAUCUAUUUAUCUAUCCAUCCAUCCAUCCAUCCAUCCUCCCAUUCAUUCAUCUAAUACUUACAGAAUGCCUAUGGCUGCUAAUACAAAGAGGACUGCCUGGUUCCUGCUGUCUAUAAACUGACAGCCUGGGAUGAUUGUCCUUUGCAGUUCAGUUCACAUUUCACAUGCUCCAUAAAGUCUCUCUGGGUUUUCAAUGGAUGCCUUGCCUUUUCCUCUACACACUAGAGGAAGGGUAGCCACCCCUGGCAAGGGCCUAGUAUAGUCCCCUAUACAUGUAGCUGUUCAGUUGAUUGCUACUGAUCAUGUGUAUCCUGCAUCAUGUUAUCAAAAACUAACAUAGUGCUUGG